AAAAGAAACCAACUGGGAUUGCCCUAGUAACGGCGAGUGAAGCGGCAACAGCUCAAAUUUGAAAUCUGGCCCUCUCCGGGGGUCCGAGUUGUAAUUUGCAGAGGGCGCUUUGGCUUUGGUAGCGGUCUAAGUUCCUUGGAACAGGACAUCACAGAGGGUGAGAAUCCCGUACGUGGUCGCCCGCCAUUGCCGUGUAAAGCCCCUUCGACGAGUCGAGUUGUUUGGGAAUGCAGCUCUAAAUGGGAGGUAAAUUUCUUCUAAAGCUAAAUACCGGCCAGAGACCGAUAGCGCACAAGUAGAGUGAUCGAAAGAUGAAAAGCACUUUGGAAAGAGAGUCAAAUAGCACGUGAAAUUGUUGAAAGGGAAGCGCUUGCAGCCAGACUUGCCCGCAGUUGCUCACCCAGGCUCUUGCCUGGGGCACUCUUCUGCGGGCAGGCCAGCAUCAGUUUGGGCGGCUGGAUAAAGGCCUCUGUCAUGUAUCUUCCUUCGGGAUGACCUUAUAGGGGAGGCGUAACACGGUCAGCCCGGACUGAGGACCGCGCAUCUGCUAGGAUGCUGGCGUAAUGGCUGUAAGCGGCCCGUCUUGAAACACGGACCAAGGAGUCUAACAUCUAUGCGAGUGUUUGGGUGUCAAGCCCGGGCGCGCAAUGAAAGUGAACGGAGGUGGGAACCCCCUCUGGGGGCGCACCAUCGACCGAUCCUGAUGUCUUCGGAUGGAUUUGAGUAAGAGCAUAGCUGUUGGGACCCGAAAGAUGGUGAACUAUGCUUGAAUAGGGUGAAGCCAGAGGAAACUCUGGUGGAGGCUCGCAGCGGUUCUGACGUGCAAAUCGAUCGUCAAAUUUGGGCAUAGGGGCGAAAGACUAAUCGAACUAU
rnacentral:rRNA from 1 species